AGGGAAGACAGGUUGGCCCCUACUGAAGACCAAUCUUAAUGUUAAAAAGGACUUAUCAUCAUG
rnacentral:sRNA from 1 species